AAAAGGAUCCGGAGCGUCUUUCGAAAGCCCCUUGAACUCCUUGCCUCUUUACCCAAAUCACCCACUGUGUGAGAUGGGAGAGCUCACACAGACAGGAGCAUAAUCAACAUACUGUUCUACACUUGGCUUUUUUCAAGUAUUCUAUCUGGGUAUUGGGAGAUUGUUCCAUAUCAUACAGAGAAUGCAUGUGUGUUGACGAGUCUGUAAAGCCCCCAGGAUCAGGCAGAACAUACCCAGCAGGAGUCGUGCAGCAUUUGCAGAACGGCCAGCUGCUGAGGGACAUCUAUCU
rnacentral:sRNA from 1 species